AACUCUUCGGAGUUAGUGGCAGACGGGUGAGUAACGCGUGGGAACCUACCUUUAGGUACGGAACAACAGUUGGAAACGACUGCUAAUACCGUAUGUGCCCUAUGGGGGAAAGAUUUAUCGCCUAAGGAUGGGCCCGCGUUGGAUUAGCUAGUUGGUGGGGUAAAGGCCUACCAAGGCGACGAUCCAUAGCUGGUCUGAGAGGAUGAUCAGCCACACUGGGACUGAGACACGGCCCAGACUCCUACGGGAGGCAGCAGUGGGGAAUAUUGGACAAUGGGCGCAAGCCUGAUCCAGCCAUGCCGCGUGAGUGAUGAAGGCCCUAGGGUUGUAAAGCUCUUUCAGCGAGGAGGAUAAUGACGUUACUCGCAGAAGAAGCCCCGGCUAACUUCGUGCCAGCAGCCGCGGUAAUACGAAGGGGGCUAGCGUUGUUCGGAAUCACUGGGCGUAAAGCGCACGUAGGCGGACUUUUAAGUCAGGGGUGAAAUCCCGGGGCUCAACCCCGGAACUGCCUUUGAUACUGGAAGUCUUGAGUCCGAGAGAGGUGAGUGGAACUCC
rnacentral:rRNA from 1 species